UUGUUUGAGCCGAGGAAAGUAUACAUACAGGUUUCCAUCAAAUGUUCCGUUUUUAUAUUCGGCAAACAUACAACAUACAACUGCUCAGAAGGCUGAUGAUAAUGAAGAUGUAUUGCUAUUGAAAAACAUGGUUAUUACGUAUUUAUGUUUUUGAUAAGGUAACGACUUAGUAAGUGCAGGAAGAUUUCAAAUAUAACGGUGGUAGAUAAAAAAUAGCAAUAAAAAAUGAAGACGGUGAAUAAAAAGAAAAUUUGGAUACACUACGAAUGUCUAUAGUAUUUACGAAAUGUUCCUUUGUCUAAAUACGAAAUAAAUUGUUAUUGGA